rnacentral:rRNA from 1 species
CCUACGGGAGGCAGCAGUGAGGAAUAUUGGUCACUGGGCGCGAGCCUGAACCAGCCAAGUCGCGUGAGGGACGCCGGUCCUAUGGAUUGUAAACCUCUUUUGUAGGGGAGCAAAAGAAGCCACGCGUGGCGUUCCGAGAGUACCCGAAGAAAAAGCAUCGGCUAACCCCGUGCCAGCAGCCGCGGUAAUACGGAGGAUGCGAGCGUUGUACGGAUUUAUUGGGUUAAAAGGGUGCGCAGGCGGAAGAUAAAGGCAGCGGGAAAAGUGAGAGGAUCAACCGCUUCGAGCCGUUGAAACUGGUUGUCUUGAGUGAGCGAGAAGUAUGCGGAAUGCGUGGUGUAGCGGUGAAAUGCAUAGAUAUCACGCAGAACUCCGAUUGCGAAGGCAGCAUACCGGCGCUCAACUGACGCUCAUGCACGAAAGUGUGGGUAUCGAACAGGAUUAGAUACCCGUGUAGUC